rnacentral:lncRNA from 1 species
GAGGGGGUAUAGUUCGAAGAGUAUAACGCAGCGGAAUUAAAACUUAGAGUAGCNUAUAAGCGUGUUCGGUCACUGUUAAAACGAAGUUGGUCCUUUUUCGCAAAAUAAUUUUCUUUCAGAAAAUUAAUCGAACAGUUUGAGUGCAUGCAAAAGUAACAAGUGCAGGGAGUAGAAAAAUCACACAAGUAAUUUUUAUACUGGUUCGAUUCAGAAGAAUCUACGUCCAGUCGUUAAUCACUAUAAACAGUGAUUAACAGUUCCACUAAAAAUAUGUUUCUCAAAUUACAAUUAUAGUGAAUGAAAAGCAAAUAAAUAAACCUUCCUUCGACGAGCGAACCGGAAGAAAACCACUCUGACAACUCGAACAGAAUCACUCCGGCAAUCGACCAACGAUUCACGAGCUUCUCCUUUCACGAGACCAGGCAGAGCACCUUGCUAACUCGAAGAGAGUCUGCUCUGACUAUCGACACACGAUACACGAGCCUCUCCUUUCACGAGACCAAGCAAGGGAACUAUGAACAAAGCUUCUGAGAACU